rnacentral:rRNA from 1 species
AAAAGGGAGAAACUCUGAUCCGCCUGCCGCGUGAGUGAUGAAGGCCUUCGGGUUGUAAAGCUCUUUGAUUGGAGACAAUAAUGAUGGUAUCCAAAGAACAAGCCCCGGCUAACUCUGUGCCAGCAGCCGCGGUAAUACAGAGGGGGCUAGCGUUGUUCGGAAUCACUGGGCGUAAAGCGUGCGUAGGCGGCCUAAUAAGUCAGAAGUGAAAGCCCAAGGCUUAACCUUGGAAUCGCUCUUGAUACUGCUAGGCUUGAAGGUGGUAGAGGAUAGUGGAAUCCUUAGUGUAGGAGCGAAAUCCGUAGAUAUUAAGAGGAACACCAGUGGCGAAGGCGACUAUCUGGACCAUUCUUGACGCUGAGGUACGAAA